UCCCGACAAAUGUUACAGUGAACUUAACAUACCUCACACAAUUCUCAACCUCAACGCCACGUACUCCAGCUGACCCUUUGACCACCUCAACUAUAUAUAACACUGUAUACCCAUAUAUGGACCCCAUAGAUCGAAUAUAUGGUCAAGGAGCGAGGAAGGGAGAUGCUGGCAGCAAGACAUAUGGAUUUCACCCGUUCCUUAUGUUUGGUAAGCUGCC
rnacentral:lncRNA from 1 species